GGCUGGGCCAAGAGGCCUCUGCGGGUGCGCGCGCGAGUCGGCUGUCCUCACUUGCCUGGUGGUGGGCCUCCGUUUCCCCGUUUCCCCGUUUUGCAUAUGGGGAUGACGGCGAAGGUGGAGGUCACGUGGAGGGCGGCGGCCCGGCGCUGAGGCGCUUCGGGAGCGGGCUCCGCCCAGCCCAGGCCGAGCCCGGACCUCACACGGGCCAAAGCUGGAGCUUCUGCGGGGCUGCGCAGGCGGCGGGUCUCGGCCAGGGCAGGGCCGGGCACCUGCGCGUCUCGCGCUGCGGGGACGGGCGUUGGGCCCCAAGUCAGGCUGCACGGGCUCCGCGUGGGGCCGUGCUCGGCCGGGGGCUGGCAGGCCCCGCGGGGACUCCGGACUCCCAGUGUCACCAACGAGGAAACUGAGUCUCAAGACAUCUGAGGGACCUUUGCCCGAGGUCGCAGCCCCUCCCUGGAGGAGCUGAAGUGCAGAGUAGGGAGCCCCUUGCGGAGACCCUCCUGGGACCUCCUUCCGCAGGGGCCUGGGGCGCCUC
rnacentral:lncRNA from 1 species